GUGCGAGACCGAUAGCGAACAAGUACCGUGAGGGAAAGAUGAAAAGAACUUUGAAAAGAGAGUUAAAGAGUACCUGAAACUGCUGAAAGGGAAGCGAAUCGUAUCCAGUGCCUAUAAUCUGCGACAUAUUUCAUUGGCGAGUGAGUGCGUGCAGCGUUUUGGAAGCGGUCUCCGCUCCUGUCGUUGUUGUGCAUUUGCUUGCUGGUGCCCUGUGCUGUGGUGGGACGUCAGAGUCAGUUUGUAUGUUGCGGGAAAUGGUUAUCAGGGAGGUAGGUCGCUUCGGUGGCUGUUAUAUCCUGGUAACUAGUCGUCGUGGCUGAGACUGAGGUGCCUACAACGCGCUUUCGAGUCUGCGGGCUUCUCGUGUGGCUGUUUGCUUUGAUAGCUUGCUAUGUUGGUGAAUAAGUCGUGCGAUUGAGACCUGUAGUAACUUGUUGCUGUUCGGGACUUUGAA
rnacentral:rRNA from 1 species